AUUGAACGCUGGCGGCAUGCCUUACACAUGCAAGUCGAACGGCAGCACGGGUGCUUGCACCUGGUGGCGAGUGGCGAACGGGUGAGUAAUACAUCGGAACAUGUCCUGUAGUGGGGGAUAGCCCGGCGAAAGCCGGAUUAAUACCGCAUACGAUCUACGGAUGAAAGCGGGGGACCUUCGGGCCUCGCGCUAUAGGGUUGGCCGAUGGCUGAUUAGCUAGUUGGUGGGGUAAAGGCCUACCAAGGCGACGAUCAGUAGCUGGCCUGAGAGGACGACCAGCCACACUGGGACUGAGCCACGGCCCAGACUCCUACGGGAGGCAGCAGUGGGGAAUUUUGGACAAUGGGCGAAAGCCUGAUCCAGCAAUGCCGCGUGUGUGAAGAAGGCCUUCGGGUUGUAAAGCACUUUUGUCCGGAAAGAAAUCCUUGGCCCUAAUACGGUCGGGGGAUGACGGUACCGGAAGAAUAAGCACCGGCUAACUACGUG
rnacentral:rRNA from 1 species